rnacentral:lncRNA from 1 species
GUGCUUGCUUGGUUUCUCGCUGGGUAAAAGAACUGAUACACUACAGCUACAGGGCUGUCGCCAGAACUGGCACGCUACAACCACAGGGCUGUCACUAGAGCUGACACACUGCAGCCCAGGGCUGCUGGGCAGCUGCCAUAGCAUUAACAAAUCUAUUUCUUCCUAUCACUUAGUCUCUUGCUGGAUUCCUUCCACACCGAGACACAAAGAACCUGAACACCGGUACAUCGAGACACCAGAGCUGUAAAAGACAAUUUCUCUAAGAAUUUCUCUAAGAAACACCAAAGUGCAGAUGCGAUUAAGAUGGUGGAAUAGAAGGACUGGAGCUCAACUUCUCUCUUAAAAACAACAAAAUUUAAAACCAAAUGCUGAGCAAUCUUCAACCAAAUGGACCAGAAACUUUCAAAAAGAUACCCUACUCCAGAAGACAAAGAGGAGGCCACAUCAAGAGGUAGGAGGGGCGAUUACGUGAUAUAAGCAACCCCAUACCUCCCAGGUGGGAAGCCCCUCAGACUGGAAAGUAACUGUUUCACGAAGACUCACCUACAAGAGUGAGAAUUCUGAGCCUCACAUCAAACCCUCACGUGUGGGGAUCUGGCACUGGGAGAAAGAGCCCCUGGAGUAUCUGGCAUUGAAGGCCAGUGGGGCUUGUGUGCAGGAGCUCCAUGGGACUGGGGGAAACAGAAAUACCAUUCUUAAAAGAUGCACACAGACUUUCAUGUGCACUGAGUCCCAGGGCAAAGUUAAGUCUCCAUAGAAAUCUGGGUCAAACCUGACUGCAGUUCUUAGAGGAUGUCCUGGAAAAACAGGGGUGAAUGUGGCUUGUUGUGGGGGAAGGACAUUGGAAGCAAAGCUCUUGGGAAUAUUCAGCAGUGUGCCUUUCUCUGGAGGUGGCCAUUUUGGGAAAAUCUGGCCCCACCCAUCAGCCUGAGAAGGCCCAGGCCAAAGAACAAUCCAGGUGGGAUCACAGCUCUGCCCAACAGUAAACAGACUGCCUAAAGACCCCCCAGGCACACAGCCACCUUUAAUCUUACCCAGAGACAAAGCCCCACCCACCAGAGGAUAGGAAUCAGCUCUACCUAACAGUGGGCAGGUAUCAGCCCCUCUCAUCAGGAAGCCUACAGCAAGUCCCCCUCCCCCACCAACUUCAGCCACAAGGGGGGCAGACACCAGAAGUAAGAGAGGCUACAAUUCUAUUAUCUGUAAAAAGGUCACCACACCAAAAACCUAUAAAAAUGAAAAGACAGAGAACUAUAACUCAGAUGAG